rnacentral:rRNA from 1 species
AGUGAACGCUGGCGGUAGGCCUAACACAUGCAAGUCGAACGGCAGCACAGUAAGAGCUUGCUCUUACGGGUGGCGAGUGGCGGACGGGUGAGGAAUACAUCGGAAUCUACUUUUUCGUGGGGGAUAACGUAGGGAAACUUACGCUAAUACCGCAUACGACCUACGGGUGAAAGCAGGGGAUCUUCGGACCUUGCGCGAUUGAAUGAGCCGAUGUCGGAUUAGCUAGUUGGCGGGGUAAAGGCCCACCAAGGCGACGAUCCGUAGCUGGUCUGAGAGGAUGAUCAGGCACACUGGAACUGAGACACGGUCCAGACUCCUAAGGGAGGCAGCAGGGGGGAAUAUUGGACAAUGGGCGCAAGCCUGAUCCAGCCAUACCGCGUGGGGGAAGGAGGCCUUCGGGUUGUAAAGCCCUUUUGUUGGGAAAGAAAAGCAGCAGGUUAAUACCCCGCUGUUCUGACGGUACCCAAAGAAUAAGCACCGGCUAACUUCGUG